UGAUAUCCGAGCACAGUUACUUGGAUAACUGUUUCCGAAUUCCCAGCGUAGAAUACGUAGCGUUUGUGGAGUGAAUGUGAAACAAAAUAUUGGCAGGUCCAUACGGUCAGGUUUGGGAGCGCGCGUUGAUCGCGUACACUGCGUAGCCUUAGACUACGAUUUUUACUAAAAAAGAAAUACAAAUAGAUUGUAUAGAAUACAGUCUUGCAACAGCUAGCUGAAUCUUCUCGAAUAGCCACGACACUUUGAUUAGCGCAGUGAAUUUUCAAUCUUUUUUGUAUCUUUACCUUCUUUUAUUAUGGCUCUAUGAAAUACCGGAAACGUCUCUUCCCCGUCCGAUCAUUUGUUUUUUUUAUUUCAAACGCUCAGUCGCUUAGUUUUGCUGCUAGUUUCAGCCGUACCAGGCGCACGGCACCGGAUUGGCACCGAAUGAUCACCAAAUGGGAAUCAAUUGGUCCGAGUUGUCACCGUGUUCUUGGCGCCUAGUAUUAGCAAGUGCGCUUGCAGACACACACACAAAUGUGAGCAAAUCCGGAGACGAGAAUUCGAUUUGGCUAAAACCUACGCGAAUAUGGGGUACGAUAUCGUCGGUGAUUCUUGGCGAGCCCCUACUCAUUGUCGAACACUCAGCGGUCAUCCCCUAAGAAGGUAGAAAUCUGAAAAUAAAGCAUACGGUACGCAUCACCCAAACAAAAGAAUGAGUCCUUUCGGAUUUUCUUGAUAACAAUAACCUUGCAUGUUAAAUAGACAUUUGGAUAUAUAUUUUUCUUACCAUGUGAAUUUUUGGGCUACUUUAUAUGAAUUAUACUAUUUCUGUGGCUCUUACUUUCCUUUUUUUACAUAGGGCAUAGUGGCGAGGGAGGACACGAGGGCGUUUUGACAAUUUUUAGAUUUUGAGAAGCACGAAAGUGACUAAAUUUCACAUUAAUUUCUUCCUCGUUUCGUGGCAUUUAAUAGAAUGAAAAGCCUU